CUUUAGGUCUCCUGAAGGAACGUUGAAGACGACGACGUUGAUAGGCCGGGUGUGUAAGCGCAGCGAUGCGUUGAGCUAACCGGUACUAAUGAACCGUGAGGCUUAACCUUACAACGCCGAAG
rnacentral:rRNA from 4 species